rnacentral:sRNA from 1 species
CCGGUUGAGCUUCCGACCGGCACAAAUAACCGCCUCCUGCCGGAGGCGGUUAUUAUCGUAUAAACUCAAGCCUGUUUUUUCCGGUCGAC